AAUAUAUUAUUUAGAGCGCACAUCACUAUUAUUUAUGAAGAACGACGUGAUCAUUCUGGACAUGUAGUUUAGUAAUGGGGAGAAAAAAAACGACAUUUGGAAAAACCCAUUCAAGAUCUCAUUCUCAAUACUGUUAGGAAGGUGUCCAUCCCAUUUAAUGCCCUCUUCCUGUUGUCAUUCUCCCAUCAGCCACAUCAUGAUUGCGGUAUCAAUAUUAGGACCGACUCGGAGUCACAAGCAGUUAGUCCUAAUUUGGAUACCGUACAGGAUAGCACGUUCUCUCAGAAAAGGAAGUCACCCAUAGACACUUUGAGUUGCAGACUUACACAGACAUCUAUCAUGUCACAAUUCACCCAAACUGUCUAGAUUGGCUGGAUAUUUGAAUAACAAGUGCAUUUGAUAAACUGUUAUGGAUGAUAGGCUAUGGUUAUCACCUGUUUUGUAUGACAGGCUAUAGGUUAUAACCUGUUUUGUAUGACAGGCUAUAGGUUAUAACCUGUUUUGUAUGACAGGCUAUAGGUUAUAACCUGUUUUGUAUGACAGGCUAAAGGUUAUAACCUGUUUUGUAUGACAGGCUAUAGGUUAUAACCUGUUUUGUAUGACAGGCUAAAGGUUAUAACCUGUUAUGGAUUAUAGGCAAAAGGUUAUAACCUGUUAAGGAUUAUAGGCUAUAGGUUAUAACCUGUUAUGGAUGAUAGGCUAUAGGUUAUAACCUGUUGUGAAUGAUAGGCUUUAUGUUAUAACCUGUUAUGAAUUAUAGACUAUAGGUUAUAACCUGUUAUGGAUUAUAAACUAUAGGUUAUAACCUGUAAUGGAUUAUUGGUUAUAACAAGAAAGGACCACACUCUUUUUACUAACAAAACUGUGAUGACUGUUGAGAAGGUGACAUAUCCAGAAAGAAGUCCUAACUAUAUGUUCUUUGAAUUCAUACUUAAAAAAUGUCCGCAUUGUUUUUUUAAAAUUGUUAACCAAAUUAGAUUUAGUGAUUGUACAAUAUUAAAAGUGUACAUUUUGUUCAUUUAAAGCGAAGAAGGGAAUAAGACAUAAUUGCGUAUCUUAUUAUUAUCUUAUUAUUAUAAAGAGUAAGAAACCUCUUCUUCUGGUCUGUUUCUAUCCACAACGUUGUAUACAAUUGCUGGUUUUGUAAUGCACUGUAGAGAAAGCAGUUCCACUGUUCAUUUUUCUUCUCUUUUUUUUAAAUAGAAAUGGUAUUUCGAUGG
ensembl:lncRNA